rnacentral:rRNA from 1 species
AUUGAACGCUGGCGGCAUGCCUUACACAUGCAAGUCGAACGGUAACAGGUCUUCGGAUGCUGACGAGUGGCGAACGGGUGAGUAAUACAUCGGAACGUGCCCGAUCGUGGGGGAUAACGAAGCGAAAGCUUUGCUAAUACCGCAUACGAUCUACGGAUGAAGCAGGGGACCGCAAGGCCUUGCGCGAACGGAGCGGCCGAUGGAAGAUUAGGUAGUUGGUGGGAUAAAAACUUACCAAGCCGAAGAUCUGUAGCUGGUCUGAGAGGACGACCAGCCACACUGGGACUGAGACACGGCCCAGACUCCUACGGGAGGCAGCAGUGGGGAAUUUUGGACAAUGGGCGAAAGCCUGAUCCAGCCAUGCCGCGUGCAGGAUGAAGGCCUUCGGGUUGUAAACUGCUUUUGUACGGAACGAAAAGACUCUGGUUAAUACCUGGGGUCCAUGACGGUACCGUAAGAAUAAGCACCGGCUAACUACGUGCCAGCCGCCGCGGUAAGAC